GAAUGUGUCUACUAACUGUAUAAUUAUGCAAUUCCUCAAUCCUAUAAACUAUAUAGAAAUUAUAAUGUAUAGAGUUGUUGCGUGUGAACACGAAUCAAUGCCCACGAAAUUCAACUAUGAUACCAAUUCUUAUAAAACUAAUUCAUACAUCACUAUUCCAACUUACUAAAAUGAAUUAUAAAUUAGCCAUAGGGGCAAUUAAACAACAGGUAGCAUGACACAUUUUUCCUUUAUGUCUCCUUGUUCAACCACACCAAAAUACAUGUAGCAAAGCAUACAUGCGGUUCAAAAAUGUUUCUUAAGGGACGUGUCAUUUUCCUUUAUGUCUCCUUGUUCAGCCACACCAAAAUACAUGUUGCAAGCAACAAAUUUUGUAGCCAGCGGUUCAAAAAUGUUUCUUAUUAAGGGACGUGUCAUUUUUCCUUUAUGUCUCCUUGUUCAGCCACACCAAAAUACAUGUUGCAAGCAACAAAUUUUGUAGCCAGCGGUUCAAAAAUGUUUCUUAUUAAGGGACGUGUCAUUUUUCCUUUAUGUCUCCUUGUUCAACCACACCAAAAUACAUGUAGCAAAGCAUACACAUGCGGUUCAAAAAUGUUUCUUAAGGGACGUGUCAUUUUUCCUUUAUGUCUCCUUGUUCAGCCACACCAAAACACAUGUUGCAAGCAACAAAUUUUGUAGCCAGCGGUUCAAAAAUGUUUCUUAAGAGACGUGUCAUUUUUCCUUUAUGUCUCCUUGUUCAGCCACACCAAAAUACAUGUAGCAAGCAACAAAUAUUGUAGCCAGCGGUUCAAAAAUGUUUCUUAAGGGACGUGUCAUUUUUCCUUUAUGUCUCCUUGUUCAGCCACACCAAAAUACAUGUAGCAAGCAACAAAUAUUGUAGCCAGCGGUUCAAAAAUGUUUCUUAAGGGACGUGUCAUUUUUCCUUUAUGUCUCCUUGUUCAGCCACACCGAAAUACAUGUAGCAAGCAACAUAUUUUGUAGCCAGCGGUUCAAAAAUGUUUCCUAAUUAAGGGAUGUGUUAUUAUUUAGCAGGGGGGGAGGGAAUUUGAUAUUUUUUAAAUUGACGGGAAAAAAUAGGGCCGUCCUCCAGCCAUAGGGUAAAAAUAUGGGACCCCCCAUACAAAAAAAUUCACACACAUUUGUCUGUAAUAAACGCUCGUGUAAACAUGAAAUUUAUGGAAAAAUAUGUUUGGUUGUCAAAUGAAUAUAGAUAUUUAGGGGUGAUAUGUUUACCGAAAACGAGGUUUAUAACGUCCAUGGGUCAGAAGUGCUAAUGUUUAGAGUGUGAAUGAAAAGAUUUUUGGCUAUUUUGAGCGACGUUAAUUUUGUAUUCUUUAUUCCUUUAGCAAAUAAAAGUUGUGUCUUUGUUUUCAGGGGCAUAGCCAUUUUUAACAGGAAGGGGUCCAAAAAGGCCCAUAUAAGACAUUUUCUCCUGUAUUGUAAGAAAUAUCCCAUACAUUUACUGUAUUUUUGGCUGCUGGAAGGAAGAAGGGCACCCCUUGCUAGGUCUCUGGUUUUGGACCCUGUUUAUGGGCUUUGUCUUAUAAAUUCAUCACAGAUCAGACGCUUUGACAUUGUAAUUAGUUUGUGAUUAGUUAUCAUAUUGGAAUUCGUAGCUUUUUUAAGUCACGUUCUUUAAUCAUUCAUUUGCUUUGACCCUAUAUUAUGCUUAGAAUUGCAAGUCAUUUCUUCCGCGUUCCCUUAGUCCAUUACAUCAAUUCCUUGGGGCUAAUUUCGGGGACUGCUCGAAAUUUUUUCUUGUCCCGGGAUCAGUAUAGUUUUAGCUCUUUCUCGCUUUCUUUUUUCGUUGGGUGCCCAUGUCAUGGCUACAUUACAAAGACAUUCAAGAUCUUGUCUAAGCACAUUAAGGACUUUUCAUUCUUGAUGUGAUCUAUCCAGCCAAUGUUGAGUAUUUAAGUUGGAAAACGUCCAGCAUUAUCUCCCUUCCAGGUCUUCUAGGUCUCAAAACCGCAUAACAAAACUUUGGGUACCAGUGUGCCUGGUACAACUUCAUCUUCAUUCUUCUCUUGAUCUUCUCAAAGCUACACAUUUUUUCUCAGUCUAGUGUAUGCACCCCUUGCCUUAAACAGCCUAUUCUUGGGGUCUUUUACUUAAAUAAAGCGACAUAUAAAUAUUACUACAUAUAACGGCAUAUGACGAAGUAAAAAGGAUGUAGAAGUUCUGGUUGUGCUCAACCAUAUGAAGUGUCACACACAUUGUGAAACAUGCCUGUCAUGAACUUUCUAUUCAUUUUGCACUUUUCAUUCCUGUAAAUGUCAUUUGUACAAUUAACGGCCCCUUUAAGUACUGCAAAUCCAUCCGGACCUAGUUUUUUUUUUUUAUGGGAGCGUCUCCUCUGUCACUCUCCGAGUUAUAUCAGUCAUCACUCUCCGAAUUAUCAGCUUCUCCUACACUAUUUUCCCUUUCACCCCUGAAACUCUCCGACUUACCGUCUUCCCCAUCAGCCUCCGACUCAUUGUCAAUGCAUCUAAUGAACAACUCCCCUUAUCGUUACUAACAAUAUUAUGUAUAACAAGCACCUUAUCCUCCUACUUUACCUCCUCUGAAUGGCCACUAUCAUUUUUUUGGGCGCUACGUUCCUAGAGUUCUCUACAGUCCUCCGUGCAGAGGCGAUGGCACCGACUUGAUCGUCCUUCAACACCCUAGCAGUUGAGCUUCUCUUUCUCUAUGUAUAGAUCAAGGACCGACAUAGGACACCCUCUAUUUGGGUGUAUCUAGUCAUGAGUUGUCGUACUUUUUCAAGCUUUCUUUCUCUCUCAGCCUCCUCCUUGGCUCCUUCCUCUUUCUUUUCUCGAACACAUGCAGGCGCGUACCCAGGAUUGGCUGAAGGGGGGCUGCACAGUCAUAGGUAUCAUAUAAUAAGAAAUGUCCCACUUUUUGGCCGCCAAAGGGGUGAUGCGCACCCCACCCCCUGUGUACGCGCCUGUCAUUGGCCUUUAGAUCACGAUGGUAAGAGAAGUGUAGAAGUCCGCUCGUAAAUGAUUGGCUAGAUUACCCUCAUCGUUCUAUUGUUUUCCCGUUCUUCGUCUGUGUUGCAUCAAUCCAAUGUGGUGAAAUCUUCUGAUAGCUUCUAAAUGGACCGAUGGCAAUGAAGAAAAUAGUUACCUAACCUCGGCCAUUUAAGUGACUUAUCAGAGUCACCGGAUGACAUUGGACCAUAUUUUUAUAGAUCCUACUCCAUGCCCUUCAACAGCAUUUAUCUGACGAUGAGUUUUAUAAUAUGAUGCUAAGAAAUUAUACAUGUUAAUUGCACGGCCAGUUAAUGGUUGACUCGUAAAGUGACACAACUAUAGGAGACAGUACUGUGCAGAUUAAUGAGUUCCAUGCUGAGGUUUAUGUGAUGGAGCAAAGAAAAAUUCCACACAAAAUAUUUGUUAACAAAAUUAUGACCCUCCCCUAAGAAAUGUGGAGAUGUGAAAAAAAUUAGGACCCUCCCCAAAAAAAUCAGAGCUCCCCCCUCCCCCCGCUAAAUAAUGACACGUCCCUAGCUAUCGGAGAAACAUAUUUGUGCCACAACUACAAUAUUUGAUGAGUAUUAUGUUUUGUGGGG